CGUGAAGUUGGAAUUGCUAGUAAUCGCGGAUCAGAAAUGCCGCGGUGAAUACGUUCCCGGGCCUUGUACACACCGCCCGUCGCACCAUGGAAGUCGGUAAUGCCCGAAGUCAGUAGCCUAACCGCAAGGAGGGCGCUGCCGAAGGCAGGAUUGAUGACUGGGGUGAAGUCGUAACAAGGUACC
rnacentral:rRNA from 1 species